CCUACGGGGGGCAGCAGUGGGGAAUAUUGGACAAUGGGCGAAAGCCUGAUCCAGCCAUGCCGCGUGUGUGUAGAAGGCCUUCGGGUUGUAAAGCACUUUCAGUGGGGAAGAAAGCCUUGGGGCUAAUACCCUCGAGGAAGGACAUCACCCACAGAAGAAGCACCGGCUAACUCCGUGCCAGCAGCCGCGGUAAUACGGAGGGUGCGAGCGUUAAUCGGAAUUACUGGGCGUAAAGCGCGCGUAGGCGGUCUGAUAAGCCGGUUGUGAAAGCCCCGGGCUCAACCUGGGAACGGCAUCCGGAACUGUCAGGCUAGAGUGCAGGAGAGGAAGGUAGAAUUCCCGGUGUAGCGGUGAAAUGCGUAGAGAUCGGGAGGAAUACCAGUGGCGAAGGCGGCCUUCUGGACUGACACUGACGCUGAGGUGCGAAAGCGUGGGUAGCAAACAGGAUUAGAUACCCGGGUAGUC
rnacentral:rRNA from 1 species